rnacentral:rRNA from 1 species
GAUGAACGCUGGCGGAAUGCUUUACACAUGCAAGUCGAGCGGCAGCGCGGGGCAACCUGGCGGCGAGCGGCGAACGGGUGAGUAAUGCAUCGGAACGUACCCAGUCGUGGGGGAUAACUGUCCGAAAGGACAGCUAAUACCGCAUACGUCCUGAGGGAGAAAGCGGGGGAUCGCAAGACCUCGCGCGAUUGGAGCGGCCGAUGCCGGAUUAGCUAGUUGGUAGGGUAAAGGCCUACCAAGGCGACGAUCCGUAGCUGGUCUGAGAGGACGACCAGCCACACUGGAACUGAGACACGGUCCAGACUCCUACGGGAGGCAGCAGUGGGGAAUUUUGGACAAUGGGGGCAACCCUGAUCCAGCCAUUCCGCGUGAGUGAAGAAGGCCUCGGUUGUAAG